rnacentral:rRNA from 1 species
CAGUAGCCACGGGAAUACGGAGGGUGCAAGCGUUAAUCGGAAUUACUGGGCGUAAAGCGCACGCAGGCGGUCUGACAAGUCAGAUGUGAAAUCCCCGGGCUUAACCUGGGAACUGCAUUUGAAACUGUCAGGCUGGAGUCUUGUAGAGGGGGGUGGAAUUCCAGGUGUAGCGGUGAAAUGCGUAGAGAUCUGGAGGAAUACCGGUGGCGAAGGCGGCCCCCUGGACAAAGACUGACGCUCAGGUGCGAAAGCGUGGGGAGCAAACAGGAUUAGAUACCCGCGUAGUCCCUGUCUCUUAUAA